UGUGGGAAGGAGCUGAAAAGAGCACUGGGGCUGCGGUACAGCGCUUGCAUACACUUUCUUUGGCUUGUUUUGCUGGAAGAGGUAGCAGGGCGUGAUUGUUAAUCAGAGGUCAGUGGGUGGGUUUCUGCAAACUAGGAGUGUACAGGGAACUGUCUUUGAACAGAUGGAAGGAGAGGAACCAGCGAGAGGAAGGAGGCUGAAAGACUUCUCUGGCUUUGAACAGAAUUAUGUGUUAAUGGUUCUUGCUUUGAAUUCCUCGAUUGGAGUCAUUUCAGGGAAGUGAUUCUCACUUAGUGACCUAGUUCUCAAAGUCAUGUGAAUGGUGUUUGGUGCGUGUCUGGGAGCUCGUCAGGGCAAGGUAGAAGGUGGUGGGUGCAGAGGGGCUGUGUAACAUCCAAGGGUAUCUGCAUUACUUUUCAGCUGUUUAGAGUUUAGAUCAAAGGGUAUGUUCCCGGAAUAGGCAUUCUAUGGCACAUGUGCCAAAGGCAGCAUAAGAGCUGAUUUUCAGUAGCACUCUCACUGCCCUGGUCCUGGCUCUGCAUUUUAAUUUAUUUUUAAAUGAAGCUUCUUAAAACAUUUGAAAAACCUUGUUUACUUUACAUACAAUAGUUUAGUUAUAUAUUAAAGGCUUAUAGAAAGAGAUCUCCUAAAAAUAUUAAAAUGUAUUAUUUGCACAUAGAGCCAGAAAUUAGAGCGAAUAAAUGAAGAUUUGGCACAUGCCUUCUGAAAGGUUGUCGACCCCUGGUAUAUUCAAAUUACCCAUGGGAUUGGUGGGUAAUAAUUGAUCUGUUGGGCUUUGAUUUAUUGUGUCUUGUCUGGAUGUAAGAAAUCAAUCCCCAAAUGUGCUCCUGUUCACUCUGGAACUUUACCAGGGCAAGAAGUGGAUGGGGGAGCCACAGCUGUCAAUCCUGUGCUGUGAGGACAAGAGCACAGAACCAGAAGCUGCAAAAGCAAAAUCAGGCAAGGAGGCAACAGCAGUGCGAUGAUGAGAGUGAUGAGGACAUUGACAUGGUCAUAGACUUCUCACAAAGUACGAGCCGGGCAAUGUGCCCCGGCAAUGUGCACAUCAUGCUGAUGAGCUCUGCAUGGUCACCUGUGCUGAUCAGCUCGCCACACUGGCCAAACAGGACAUGAAAUUCAAAAGUUUGUGACCCUUUUCCUGUCUACCUGGCCAGUGCAUCUGAGGUGAGAGCGCUGUCCAGAGCGGUCACAAUGGAGCACUCUGGGAUAGCUCCUGGAAGCCAAUACUGUCGAAUUGCACCCACACUACCCUAAAUUCAACCCAGCAAGGCCGAUUUCAGUGCUAAUCCCCUCAUUGGAGAUGGAGUAAAGAAAUCAAUUUAAAGAGCCUUUAAAUUGAAAAAAAGGGCUUUGUUGUGUGGAUGGGUCCAGGGUUAGAGCGUGGUAACGCUGCUAAAUUCAACCUAAAGUCAUAGUGUAGACCAGGCCUCAGAGGGAUUUUAUAGCUACUGACUGGCUGGGUGUCCAAAAAAGGGAGUGGGAACUCUGGUAUUAAGUGGACACCCUAUCUUAGCUGUCUAUGGCUGUAUUGCUUGUAGAUUUACAUAUUCUGUGUUGAUGUUACCAAAUGGAGUAUUUUGUAGCUGGCUGCUAUCAUUUGUUUAACUUGUAUGAAAUAUGAAUAUGCUCCCUCAGACUUAACCACCCGCCUUUCACACACUCCCUGCCCCUCGCUCUCUGGGGUGGGAAAAAGUCACCAGCAUGUGUGUCCAUUGGAUUCUUUUUAUUUAAUUACUUCUCAUUGUUAAAUUAUUUAUGAAUCUUUCUUAAAUUUCAUUGCAGUGUGUUUUCUUCCUGCCACUGUCACCUGGCAGCUCAGGGAUGUGAGAUUCUCCUCCAUUACAUUUCCACCCAUGGAUAAAAGACGUGAGAUCACACGUCAGUACCUUUGGAAAUAAAAGCAACCAGGAAACAAA